AUUGAACGCUGGCGGCAGGCCUAACACAUGCAAGUCGAGCGAGCGGCGGACGGGUGAGUAAUGUAUGGGGACUGCCCGAUAGAGGGGGAUCACUACUGGAAACGGUGGCUAAUACCGCAUAAUGUCGGAUACCCCAUAUGGGAUUAGCUAGUAGGUAAGGUAAUGGCUUACCUAGGCGACGAUCCCUAGCUGGUCUGAGAGGAUGAUCAGCCACACUGGGGCUGAGACACGGCCCAGACGCCUACGGAGGCAGCAGUGGGUAAGAUUGCACAAUGGGCGCAAGCCUGAUGCAGCCAUGCCGCGUGUAUGAAGAAGGCCCUAGGGUUGUAAAGUACUUUCAGUCGUGAGGCGUUACCGACAGAAGAAGCACCGGCUAACUCCGUGCCAGCCGCCGCGGUAAUUC
rnacentral:rRNA from 1 species